UUUCCUCAUCAAAAGCAUGAAUUCUUACUUGGGGCGGGGCAUUUUAGCCACAGACUGCAUGCUUUCCUUGACUUGAGUUCCUAGGUCCAACCUCCAGCUAAAAAUGUUAAUUUCUCAUUUGUGUGGUGGCACACACACUUAAUCUAGCACUCAGGAGGCAGAUCUUGAGUUCCAGGACAUCUCAGCUACAAUGCCUCCUAAUAUGUCAGUUGAAGAGAUGGCAAACAAAGUGAUAUGGUUGUGAGCCAUGUUUGGAAUAGGAGACAUGAAAAGAGUUGAAGGCCCGCCUUGGUUCCCUGUAACUGCUUAACUCAUCACGUAGUACAUCACCAUUAGCAGUUAGUUUAGAACUAUUCAAUCUGUUCCCCCAUGAAGACCUCAGUGAAGACCACUGCUGUCUCAUGGUUUAAGACUCAAGGCCUGGAGCCUCAAGAUGGUCUUGCCACCUGUCAGUAUCUUAUAUAGGAGCGCACCUACACAUGCUGCUGGACAUUUUCCUGUUGAAACUAGAUUUCACUGUCACUGUGGCCUAAAAUCCUCAAGAAAUUAACCAGCCUCGACCUUCUGGGUAAUGAGAUUAAAAGCAUGGUGCCACUGCACCACCACCCCCCCCCCCCCCCUUUUUAAGGAAAGGAUAAGAGACAUUCUGGCCUAUUCUGGCCUUAAACUCUGUAUCUUUCUAUUAGAGUGCUUUGAUUACAGUUGUAAUAUUGCUUAGAUAUUGUUUUCUGGGCUAAGAGUUAUACAGCCAUAUAACAUUUUGAGUUUUCUUUCAAGUGGGAUUGAGUAUUCUAGGGUCUGCUCGUAAACUGGAGACCUCAGAAGUGCAUGGUCAUCUUGGCUGUAUGAUGAAAUCAGGUUAAGAGCACCACUGACUGCUCUAACAGAAGUCCUUAGUUCCAAAUUCCCAGCAACCACAUGGUGGCUCACAACCAUCUGUUUUGGGAGCCCUCUUCUGGUGUCUGAAGACCGUGACCAUGCACUCACAUGUAGAAAAUAAAAUAUUAAAAGUAUCUGAGGUAUGAGGGUAUGACUAGCCUAGUAACAAGAUCUUUUUCCCAAACAACCAUUAGCUUGUGUAAAAAAAUUAGUACAUGGAAUGUAGGCCUUUGCAAGGACACAAGUUUAAAGUUUAGCUUUUCUUAGGAAAGUCUGAUUAAAGGGAAAAAAAAAAACCAAAAGACCAGUAACAGUUCCUGGGUUUUCUCUCUCUCUCUUUUUUUUUUUUUUGUUUGUUUGGGUUUUUCGAGACAGGGUUUCUCCGUAUAUUAGAGCUCACUGUCCUGGAACUCACUUUGUAGACCAGGCUGGCUCGGGACUCAGAAAUCCACCUGCCUCUGCCUCCCAGUGCGCCACCACGCCUGGCUGUAACAGUUCCUGUUACCUGCAAAUGCUUAGAUGGAUCUUAAUUGUAUUGGCAACAUUCUUUUUAUGUGUAUUCUCAAGAUUUGAUUCAAAUAUCCCGUUAGCGGUUUUUUUUUUUAAAGUACAAAGGUCAUGAAGCCACACCCUGUACAAACCUGUAUCUGAAUCUCUUGGGAGAAAGAUGCUCUCCAUUUUUACCCUUCAUUUCCUUCAUAGACGAUGGAAACACUCUAACCACUGUCUGGUUUCUUGAGCCCACUGCCACCUGCUUGCUCCUUACCUGUGGUACCACAAACGUUUAAAAGCGUCAUAGAUAAUGUGUGUGUCUUCUAGGCAGAAAUAAAGAAAAAUAGCUUCUUUAACUAAAGUCAUUGGGUUGGGAAGCCUGGAACCUUCUAGCUUCAAGGAAUAAGCACAAAGCGUCCGGGCAUUACAAGGAAACGGGAUUGAGAGUUACUUCUGCAUGUUAUUUAAUCAUCUAAGCAAUCUGGACCUGCAUAGUCGUCACCAUGGUGAUGUUUCUAGAAAAUUACUUAGGUAGUUUGGAGAAAAUUCGUAACACUGAAGCACUUAAUGCUCGGUAAUACUGCGACAGUAUUUGGCCCAGAGGCUCAGACAGUGGCAAUCAAUUGCUACAGUUUCAAACUCGGCGGUAUCUGGUAUAUCUAGUCUCAGAGUAUACAGAACAACUGACUCAGUUACCGUUUACGGGGAGGGUCUCAGGGAAACAAACAGCGAACCGCUCAAACACGUGGCUUUACAGAGAGCGUGGGAAAGGAAAGGGAGGGCGGUGGGGGAGGGCCCUGCCAAGACUUAAGAUGUCUGCUGAGGACCCCCGUAUCUGCCCGAGAGAGCGCGUUCCCUCUUCCAACAUGUCCUCCGCAGUGUUGACGUCACACCGCCGGCUCCCUGGGAGCGCAGAGCCGUAGCGCGCUCCAAUCGGGGUGGCGGCCCCGCCCCGCUCCCGCGCGUCACUUCCGGUGGUGCAGCAGCCAUUUUGUCAGUCGCCAGCGGAUCCCGCGCGCUGCCGAAGUGCAGUUCCCCCUGGUUACCAGGUGGUCGGUUCUUCCCCUCCGCGCUGCCGGCGGGCGGGCAGGCGGGCGCCCUCGGAGAGAGAGAGCGCCCACCACAGGCGUCGCCUUCGCUCCUCCCCGGGUCGCCGCGGCCCCUCUCCCGAGCCGCGGCGCUGUCUGCCUCUCCUUACCACUGACAGGCGCCCCCGAGGGCGCUGCCGGCGGCUAUGUCAAGCGAGGAGAGCUACCGGGCCAUCCUGCGCUACCUGACGAACGAACGCGAGCCCUAUGCGCCGGGCACCGAGGGCAAUGUCAAGCGGAAGAUCCGCAAGGCCGCCGCCUGCUACGUCGUGCGCGGCGGGACCCUCUACUACCAGCGGCGGCAGCGGCACCGCAAGACCUUCGCCGAGCUGGAGGUGGUGUUGCAGCCGGAGCGUCGCCAGGGCCUCAUCGAGGCGGCCCAUUUGGGCCCCGGGGGCACCCACCACACCCGGCACCAGACCUGGCACGACCUGUCCAAGACCUACUGGUGGCGAGGUAUAUUAAAGCAAGUUAAAGAUUACAUAAAACAGUGUAGCAAAUGUCAGGAGAAGCUCGAUCGCUCCCGUCCAAUAUCGGAUGCUUCGGAAAUGUUGGAAGAGUUGGGGUUGGAUCUUGACUCUGGAGAAGAAAGUAAUGAGUCGGAGGAUGACCUGAGCAACUUCACCUCCCCUCCAUCCACAGCCUCCAAGUCUUCCAAAAAGAAGCCAGUGUCGAAACAUGAGCUGGUGUUUGUUGACACCAAAGGAGUGGUCAAACGGUCCUCUCCAAAGCAUUGCCAGGCGGUUCUGAAACAGUUGAAUGAGCAGAGGCUUUCCAACCAGUUCUGUGACGUCACAUUGCUCAUCGAGGGGGAGGAGUACAAAGCGCACAAGUCUGUCCUCUCGGCUAAUAGUGAAUAUUUUCGAGAUCUUUUUAUUGAAAAAGGAGCAGUUUCUAGUCACGAGGCUGUUGUGGAUCUUUCUGGUUUCUGUAAAGCAAGCUUCCUUCCUUUGCUGGAAUUUGCCUAUACUUCUGUACUAAGUUUUGACUUUUGUAGCAUGGCUGAUGUAGCCGUCUUAGCUCGCCACCUUUUUAUGUCAGAAGUUUUAGAAAUUUGUGAAAGUGUACAUAAACUAAUGGAAGAAAAACAGCUUACAGUGUAUAAGAAAGGAGAAGUUCAAACGGUUGCAUCUACUCAGGACUUAGCAGCACACAAUGGAACUACAACACCACCUGGCACUAGGAAUGAAGCAACCACAACUUUGUCCGGUGAACUUGGGCAUUGUGAAAUUGUACUGCUGGUAAAUGGAGAAUUGCCAGAGGCAGAGCAGAAUGGGGAGCCAGAGCAGCAGCCUGCACCUCAGGCUUCUCCAGAGGCUGAAGCUAGUGUGUCCCCUGUAGAAGGUAUACCUGAGCCCCACCCUGAAAUGGGAACUGCAAGCUUAGCAAAAGAAAGCAACCAACCAGAGUCCGCAGUCACCAGAGAAGAUGGCAUAGUUGCUAGUGUUCAUCCUAAAAUCUCAAAAGAGAAUGUUACCAACGCCUCCCAAGAGGACAGUGAUACAGGAAACGAUACAUCACCUGAGGACAUCGGUGCCAAAGACUGUCCAGAUCAUAGUCAGAGCCCUGGCCAACCUUCAAAGGAUGAGGACACUCUAACUGAAGCUACAGAAAAGACAGACUCAGGCCCAGAUGAUGAUACUUAUAGGAGCAGGCUUAGGCAGCGGUCUGUUAAUGAAGGGGGCUAUAUCCGGCUACACAAGGGCAUGGAGAAAAAGUUACAGAAGCGGAAAGCCAUCUCUAAGUCAGCAGUUCAACAGGUGGCCCAGAAAUUAGUUCAAAGAGGAAAAAAGAUGAAACAACCAAAACGGGAUGCUAAGGAGAGCACCGAAGAAACGGCUCAUAAAUGUGGUGAAUGUGGAAUGGUUUUUCCGAGACGAUAUGCCUUUAUAAUGCACACAUUGAAACAUGAAAGAGCUAGAGAUUACAAAUGUCCGUUAUGUAAGAAACAGUUUCAGUAUAGUGCCUCAUUACGAGCACACCUUAUUCGACAUACAAGAAAAGAGGCACCCACUUCAUCCUCAUCCAAUUCCACAUCUACUGAGGCGUCGGGAGGAUCAUCUGAGAAGGGAAGAACCAAAAGAGAAUUUAUAUGUUCUAUAUGUGGAAGGACAUUACCUAAAUUAUACUCUCUCCGCAUACAUAUGCUAAAGCACACGGGUGUAAAGCCGCAUGCAUGCCAGGUGUGUGGAAAAACUUUUAUCUAUAAGCAUGGUCUAAAAUUGCAUCAAAGUCUGCAUCAAUCACAAAAGCAGUUUCAGUGUGAACUGUGUGUCAAGUCAUUUGUUACCAAGCGGAGUCUUCAGGAACAUAUGAGUAUUCACACAGGAGAGUCCAAGUACUUCUGCUCAAUUUGUGGAAAGUCUUUUCAUAGGGGCUCUGGACUUAGCAAGCACCUUAAGAAACACCAGCCAAAGCCUGAAGUUCGAGGCUAUCAUUGUACUCAGCUCCAUAUGGACAAAGUCUGCCAGUGCUCUCAGCUUCUCAUCCUCUCAGCUUCCAAACUGUCGAGAGUCUUUUCUGGUAGUUCCUGUAAAAGUCCUGUUUCCCUCUCAUUGGAUCCAAUGUGAAAAAAGUUUUUUUGAAGCCAGAGAUCUACGCCAGCAUAUGAACAAACAUCUUGGUGUGAAGCCAUUCCAGUGCCAGUUUUGUGAUAAGUGUUACAGCUGGAAGAAAGAUUGGUAUUCCCAUGUGAAGUCCCAUUCUGUCACUGAGCCUUACAGGUGUAAUAUAUGCGGCAAAGAAUUUUAUGAAAAAGCUUUAUUCAGAAGACAUGUAAAGAAGGCCACCCAUGGGAAGAAAGGAAGAGCAAAGCAAAACCUGGAGCGGGUGUGUGAUCAGUGUGGGAGGAAGUUCACGCAGCUGAGAGAGUACAGGAGACACAUGAACAACCAUGAAGGCGUUAAGCCUUUCGAGUGCUUAACAUGUGGAGUAGCGUGGGCUGAUGCCCGAUCACUAAAGCGUCAUGUCCGAACACAUACUGGUGAACGGCCCUAUGUGUGUCCUGUGUGUAGUGAAGCCUACAUUGAUGCUCGAACACUUCGUAAGCAUAUGACUAAAUUCCACAGAGACUAUGUGCCUUGCAAAAUUAUGCUGGAAAAAGACACUCUGCAGUUUCAUAACCAAGGAACACAAGUGGAACAUGCUGUCAGCAUCUUAACUGCAGACAUGCAGGAACAAGAAAGCAGUGGGCCUCAAGAACUGGAGACUGUGGUGGUGACAGGAGAAACUAUGGAAGUUCUUGAAGCUGUGGCAGCUACUGAGGAGUGUCCGUCGGUGUCUACCCUCUCUGACCAAAGCAUUAUGCAAGUGGUUAACUAUGUGCUGGCGCAGCAGCAAGGGCAGAAGCUGUCUGAAGUUGCAGAAGCCAUUCAGACUGUUGAAGUGGAGGUUGCACAUAUGCCAGAGGCAGAGUGAGUGCUGCUGUCACGGGCAAGCCUGCCCGAGGAGCUCACCGAGGACGCGUUUACAGUUUAUGUCACCACUAUGCAGUCCUGGGUUGUGGAACUCUGGGUUGUUGGUGACAUCACUAGUCUUCUUGUCUGGCCAGUGAGUUCUGCAGAAAGUCCUCUUUCUGUAAAGAAAUUGAAAACAAUCUGUUGGAUGGAAGUAGUUGAUCAUGGUAUGCCUUUUAUGAAUUAAUGUUUAUAUUUGACUUUAUUUUAUUACAUACUUUGAAUUUAAAAGGCUGCAGUUAGUGUCUCUUCUGUUGUCUGUUUACAGUACAGAGGGUCUGUGACUAGUUGCUGUUUGUGGAUUUAAAAAUUCUAAUAUAAAAAGCGUAUCUGUAAGAUGCAUAAAUAUAUUACAUUUAAAAAAUGCUUUAGAGCUAUGAUUCUUGACUCUAUUUAUUUUAACUGCUUCUAAGUCAAGAAUCUAUUCUAUCUUAAAGCACUUGAGUUCUGUGUUAUAAUCAAGUUUGUAUAAUUUAUUUAUCUCUAUGGGAGACCCAUAUGCAAAGCUAAUUUUAAAAUACCAUUAAAAUGCAUGAGAUGCCUAUUAGAGCCUUAUUAUACUAUCUCUUCAAGGCAAGUAUUGGCCAGGAGAAAAGAGUGCUGUUAUCGAACACUGUUGCCGGGAAGUUUCUGCUUGGUAACACUGACUAUGAAUGAAAAAAAAUCAACCCUGUUUCUUUUGCUGAAGAAUGAACAAGUUAGAGAAGAAGUUAAGUUUGAUAUGUUUAUCUUUUGUAUCAUGUUUGUUUAAAUUUGUUGAAAAACUACACAUCUAUAGUAGUAGUAUGGAAGUCAUAUAAUUGUUAAUUUCAGAAUGUUGAAAAUUCUUCAGUGCAACCCUUAGUAUACUGUAUUACAUAAAAAAUUGAUUAUGACACUAUCAAAUUGCUGAAAGUAUUUUCAAAAGUUACUUUAAAACUAAAUUAUACCCAUUCAUGUGUUUGAUUUUUUUUUGUUGUUUUUUUUUUUUUUUAAUUUCUCACUUCUGAGUUGUCAGAUACUCAGAUUUUGAAAAUAACCACGGGGAGAUGCCACAGCUCUCUCUAGAAGACUAUCGUUCAAGCUAGGAUUGUUACAAUUAAGCUUUUCGAUAUUAGAAGCUUUCUUAAGAUAUAUAAUUAAGAUAUAUAAAAUAGAUUAUAUGUAAAUCAUUCCUAAAGCACAAGAAGUGAAUGUGCCUUGAUGUACAUAUAUAAUAUUAGAACGCUUAUUCCAGUUUACUUUGAAAAUGGCUUUAAGGUUAAGGAGUAAUGUGAUCUCUCUGCAUGCAUCUUCUUGCAUACGGAAUGUGUGCAUUUGCAAAUUCGUCAUCGUUUUAAAAGCUGUGUGGCUUUCAGUUUUAAAAGUGAAUUUAUAUACAGCUCAUAACUUCAUAAAGGCUAUUCCUUGGUCAUGUCCACCAGUUAGUGAGAAAGUGUUUCAAUGAAACUAAAAUUUGAAAUUGUCUUAUGUUCCACUUUCACCACUGUUAGAUUUAGUUAAAUGUAUAAGAUUAUUAAUGUAUAUCAGAAAUAUAUAAAUAAAAGAUGUUCAGUCUUGUUAAAAGCAAA